rnacentral:hammerhead_ribozyme from 1 species
UGCUGACGAGUCCCAUAAUAGGAUGAAACGGCCGUCCA